CAACGUUUGGCGACACCUGUGAAGCGUACGUGCUAGGAGAGCCAUUCUCGAUCCCCGCGUGAUCUGUGUGAAGACCUCCCCCUCGCAGAAUUCGAUUCACAGACGAAACAGAGGGUCGUCAAGAGUCGGUGGCGGCCGUCAAGCACGGAAACAGUAGGACCGUUGGGACCGUUGUCGACCAUUAACCCGGUCAUUUUUCCAACCAGCCCUGUAGUUGGCGUUAUCUCAUCGAAUUAACGCGCAAGUGGUCACACUGUCGUCGGAAUGGGCCUGCAGAGGGACGCGGGCCGCCAUAUGUCGCUCACAGGUGAAGCACGUCGUGGGCCCAGUGAAUCAGAUAACGGGGUAGGACCCAAAAGGAGAAGCAAUCGUCAAUCUUGAAGACGGUAAUAACGAAACUGAAGUCUGUCAUUGAUGCGGGUAAAAUGGCUGCAGAAGCGAUCAGGGCUGAAGCGUAUGCUAUAAAUGUUCGAAGGCAUCGAGCUCUCUCACGACCAGGGACGAAUCAAGGCGUGAGCUGUAUGAGCUACUAGGGCCUCAGCUG